GGAGACUCUGAGCUAGUACCAUGGGUGAUUCUGAUUUUCCAUGUGCUCCCAAUGGCAUUUGUGGAGAGAGCAAGCAGCAGGGAGAACCACAUUCCAAUGGAGGUACAGCACUGCAGGUAUCAGGCUGAGCACUAGCCCUUCUGAUUCUAUGUUGAGUGGUAG